UUGGUCUAAUUAGCAAAACUGUGGUACGUGGGCACAACAUUUUUCUGUCCACGUUGUUAUGUUCAGAGAUCAAUCCUUAGAGUAGAGAUUGAGGUGUCCUAAGUAUAUAUAUAAGGAGGGACAUAGUUUGACUUAAAAAGAAACGGUAGCCGGUAACCGGCCACCGAAACAAACGGCGGCUAGACCAGUUGUAAAAACAGUUAAAAAUUAUAAACCUGGGCUCGAAUGAUGGUGUGAGUUUUGGGAUGAGAAGGGUCUUUGGGCAGACGGAUGAUAAAUGAAUUCGUUGACCAAUGGAAAAGAAAGAUCACUUGUCUCUUGAUGCCGCUUCGUUAUAGACAGGCAACACAAUUUGGUUCUUAGAUGGAUCUGCUUGGCAAGUAUGUUUUUCAUUUGGGCAUGAAAAGUGGAAAAUAGUACUAUAGCAACAGAGAAGAGGAAAGAAGAAGAUGAUGAUAAUGGGUUAUUGAAUAAUUACAAAAGAAGGGCAAAAGACACAACCUUUUUCCUAGUGGAGCUGGUGUUUUGCUUCCGGCGGUGGUGCCGGCGGAGGAGGCGAAAGGCAAAAGCUAAAGAGUAAAAACAACUGGUAUUUUUGUCUUCGUUGAAGUAAAAACAAGCCAUAAAAAAUGGUGAUAUAAAUGGAAGAAAUAAUGAAUAAAAGCAAAAGCGAAUAACCCGGUGGCUAUAAUUUUUGUCACUUGGCACUUUGAAUAUGUUCAGACAUUGAUUUCUGUUUCUGGUACACAGGCAUUUUUAUUUAUUGACCUAAUUAGGACAUAAGUAUGCUUUUUUAUCUUGGGGAGUUUUCUACUUCUUUAAUCACGACAUAAAUUCUCUUGUGGUUUGAUGCACUUACCAGAUAUGAGCUCAAGUAGUUUAAAACAGAGAGUCCACUCGGAAUAACUUAGUCCUGAGUGAGAACCACGUGGGGUUCACAUGUAGAUGUAGAAGCCAGCAACAACAGAAAAUCAGAGUUGUCAAGCUGCCUAUUCAGCUCUUUUCCAAUAAGAAUGCAGUUUUAGGCAACCAUCUAUAAUUGUUCAAAGUAGUCUUCAUCGGAUUGGACUUAAUCCUAUACUAACUGAAAGUGAGUUUACAAUUCCAGGUUAUUGGUACCGGAGAGACCAGUUUUGCAAGAUGGUCAAAGCAGUGCGUGCCAAUGAAGGGAGUGAAUGUAGUCAACAGGGCUGUUCCUGGCCUUAUUUGGCCGCGAAACCAGACUUCCCUUCUUUGUCCUUUUCUUUUUUUCCUUAUUCGGAUAAAGUUUCAUUAGAUACGAGGGAAGAUUCUUUUUUCGUUCUUGGAAUUUAGUAUUUUAAAGAGUAUAUUAUGCUAAAGGGAAAAACUUGAAUUGAA